rnacentral:tRNA from 1 species
GGUUAUGGCUCGGCGGUAGGCGCUCGCCUCUCAUGUGUGAGACCCUGGGUUCGAUCCUCAGCACCA